rnacentral:lncRNA from 10 species
CUAAGCUUCAGCUGCCCACAGCAACAGUGCACUUAUUAGCACACACUCUGUUGGCUUUUCUCUUCCCUGACUCACUUCUCCACUCCCUCAUCAGGCUUCCUGGGAUCAUCUCCCAAAUAAACUGCCUGCACUCAAGAACUUGACUCAGAGUCUGCUUCUGAGACACCAACUGGAGACAGCAGAGGUCAAUUUCCCACUGGAAGUGGAGGGAAGCCAUCUGCGCAAGCCAACUGGAGCUUUCUAGGGGUGCCAGCCUGUCCUAACAACAGCCCUGUUAUGAGAGAAAGAGGCACAAAGACAGAAAUCAAUUAUGUAUCCAGGCCUGACAUCAACCAGGUCUGUGUCUAAGCUGCAUCCUUCUCUGAAUGAGUGCUACUGGAAGCGUGUUCCAACUAAGACCUGGGCCCAACCCUGCCUUUUUUUCUUGACUUAAUUAAAUAAAUCAAAGGGAACUUAAGUUCCCUGGUUUGAGUACUUACUACUGCAUUAUUCUGGAAUUGGC